rnacentral:rRNA from 1 species
GACGAACGCUGGCGGCGUGCCUAAUACAUGCAAGUAGAACGCUGAAGAGAGGAGCGUGUGCUUUUUGGAUGAGUUGCGAACGGGUGAGUAACGCGUAGGUAACCUGCCUUGUAGCGGGGGAUGACAAUUGGAAACGAUAGCUAAUACUGCAUAACAAUAGGUGACACAUAUAACUUAUUUGCAUGGGGCAAUUGGUCAACUACAAGAUGGACCUGCGUUGUAUUAGCUAGUAGGUGAGGUAACGGCUCACCUAGGCGACGAUACAUAGCCGACCUGAGAGGGUGAUCCGCCACCCUGGGACUGAGACACGGCCCAGACUCCUACGGGAGGCAGCAGUAGGGAAUCUUCGGCAAUAGGGGCAACCCUGACCCAGCAAAGCCGCGUGGGUGAAGAAGGUUUUCGGAUCGUAAAGCUCUGUUGUAAGUCAAGAACGAGUGUGAGAGUGGAAAGUUCCCACUGUGACGGUAGCUUACCAGAAAGGGACGGCUAACUACGUG